GUAGCGGUGAAUUUGGCGGUGCGUUGACAUUGGAGGAGGGACUUGAGAAACUGAAGGAGGCUCUCCAAAUCUUGAAUUCUCCUUCCCCUUCUUCCCCUACUGUCCUAAGACCUUCACUUUGUUUUGCUCCCAACCCCACUCCUCCUCGGUCUUUCCUCUCAUUUAUGUAUCCAAGAACGACGCCGACUCUAAAUCACUCUGUCAAUUUGGAUGAUAAUGUGAGUCACCAGAAAGAAAGGUUCUUUUUGGUUUUCCAUACCUCAGAUUGAGUUAGAUGAGCUGGAAAGUGUUUCCAUUCUGUCAAUGACCCUUGCAUGGGAUGAAUUUUCCUUCUCUACUUUUCAAGAAGCCCAUUAUUCGCUUCAAGAUUCUCUAGACCAGCUGUAGAUCCUCAGUACAAGGAUUUAAGGCAUUUUCAGUGGCAUUGGGAAAAGGGGGAGCCUGUCAUUGUCAGCAAUGUGCUUGAAUGUACAUCUGGUUUAAGCUGGGAACCGCUUGUCAUGUGGCGUGCAUUACGUCAUGUAACUAAUACCAAGCAUGGCCAACAUUUGGCGGAGAAAACAAUUGAUUGCUUAGAUUGGACUGAGGUAUUGGUUAAAUGCAGGGGGAAAUUAAUAUCCACCAACUUUUACUGGCUAUACAAAUGGUCGUAGGGAUUGGCUUGCUUGGCCACAGAUAUUGAAAUUAAAAGAUUGGCC